rnacentral:lncRNA from 1 species
UUCACCAUGUUGGCCAGGCUGGUCUUGAACUCUUGACCUCAAGGAAUCCGUCCACCUCAGCCUCCCCAAGUGCUGGGAUUACAGUGAGUGGGUCUCCAGGCUUCUAUGACUUGUGUUACCAGGCUAAAGAUAAAGAUGGAAUCCUCGUUAAAUCAGACCAUGCCAGUCUCAAAAUUGAGAGACUGAUCACAAGGGAGAAAUUGUUAAAUGAAAUAAGUGGAAGACCAUUGUCCCAAUGCUGUCUUUCUACUUUCAGUUCCUGUGUAAUAAACUACAACCUAACUUAGUAUGCAAAUAAACGAAAACCCAAUUUAGGAGUGUAUUUUUUGGUAUAGAUAGCUGGGUCUCAGCCAGUCACAAGCACUGAGCUUCAGCCAAUUCCAGGCAGCCAGCAGAUCACAGCAUGUCGAAAUGAG